CAACGUUAAUCGGGGCAGGGUGAGUCGACCCCUAAGGCGAGGCCGAAAGGCGUAGUCGAUGGGAAACAGGUUAAUAUUCCUGUACUUGGUGUUACUGCGAAGGGGGGACGGAGAAGGCUAUGUUGGCCGGGCGACGGUUGUCCCGGUUUAAGCGUGUAGGCUGGUUUUCCAGGCAAAUCCGGAAAAUCAAGGCUGAGGCGUGAUGACGAGGCACUACGGUGCUGAAGCAACAAAUGCCCUGCUUCCAGGAAAAGCCUCUAAGCAUCAGGUAACAUCAAAUCGUACCCCAAACCGACACAGGUGGUCAGGUAGAGAAUACCAAGGCGCUUGAGAGAACUCGGGUGAAGGAACUAGGCAAAAUGGUGCCGUAACUUCGGGAGAAGGCACGCUGAUAUGUAGGUGAAGCGACUUGCUCGUGGAGCUGAAAUCAGUCGAAGAUACCAGCUGGCUGCAACUGUUUAUUAAAAACACAGCACUGUGCAAACACGAAAGUGGACGUAUACGGUGUGACGCCUGCCCGGUGCCGGAAGGUUAAUUGAUGGGGUCAGCGCAAGCGAAGCUCUUGAUCGAAGCCCCGGUAAACGGCGGCCGUAACUAUAACGGUCCUAAGGUAGCGAAAUUCCUUGUCGGGUAAGUUCCGACCUGCACGAAUGGCGUAAUGAUGGCCAGGCUGUCUCCACCCGAGACUCAGUGAAAUUGAACUCGCUGUGAAGAUGCAGUGUACCCGCGGCAAGACGGAAAGACCCCGUGAACCUUUACUAUAGCUUGACACUGAACAUUGAGCCUUGAUGUGUAGGAUAGGUGGGAGGCUUAGAAGUGUGGACGCCAGUCUGCAUGGAGCCGACCUUGAAAUACCACCCUUUAAUGUUUGAUGUUCUAACGUUGACCCGUAAUCCGGGUUGCGGACAGUGUCUGGUGGGUAGUUUGACUGGGGCGGUCUCCUCCUAAAGAGUAACGGAGGAGCACGAAGGUUGGCUAAUCCUGGUCGGACAUCAGGAGGUUAGUGCAAUGGCAUAAGCCAGCUUGACUGCGAGCGUGACGGCGCGAGCAGGUGCGAAAGCAGGUCAUAGUGAUCCGGUGGUUCUGAAUGGAAGGGCCAUCGCUCAACGGAUAAAAGGUACUCCGGGGAUAACAGGCUGAUACCGCCCAAGAGUUCAUAUCGACGGCGGUGUUUGGCACCUCGAUGUCGGCUCAUCACAUCCUGGGGCUGAAGUAGGUCCCAAGGGUAUGGCUGUUCGCCAUUUAAAGUGGUACGCGAGCUGGGUUUAGAACGUCGUGAGACAGUUCGGUCCCUAUCUGCCGU
rnacentral:rRNA from 1 species